rnacentral:rRNA from 1 species
UAACCCUCGGAAACGGGGGCUAAUACCGAAUAUGACCUCGCAUCGCAUGGUGUGUGGUGGAAAGUUUUUCGGCCUGGGAUGGGCUCGCGGCCUAUCAGCUUGUUGGUGGGGUGAUGGCCUACCAAGGCGACGACGGGUAGCCGGCCUGAGAGGGCGACCGGCCACACUGGGACUGAGACACGGCCCAGACUCCUACGGGAGGCAGCAGUGGGGAAUAUUGCACAAUGGGCGGAAGCCUGAUGCAGCGACGCCGCGUGAGGGAUGACGGCCUUCGGGUUGUAAACCUCUUUCAGCAGGGACGAAGCGUAAGUGACGGUACCUGCAGAAGAAGCGCCGGCCAACUACGUGCCAGCAGCCGCGGUAAGACGUAGGGCGCGAGCGUUGUCCGGAUUUAUUGGGCGUAAAGAGCUCGUAGGCGGCUUGUCGCGUCGACCGUGAAAACCUGGGGCUCAACCCCAGGCCUGCGGUCGAUACGGGCAGGCUAGAGUUCGGUAGGGGAGACUGGAAUUCCUGGUGUAGCGGUGAAAUGCGCAGAUAUCAGGAGGAACACCGGUGGCGAAGGCGGGUCUCUGGGCCGAUACUGACGCUGAGGAGCGAAAGCGUGGGGAGCGAACAGGAUUAGAUACCCUGGUAGUCCACGCUGUAAACGUUGGGCGCUAGGUGUGGGGGGCCUCUCCGGUUCCCUGUGCCGCAGCUAACGCAUUAAGCGCCCCGCCUGGGGAGUACGGCCGCAAGGCUAAAACUCAAAGGA